GGAAGAAGCUUUGGUGUCGAGUCCAGUAGUCGGAGGCUUCCUGAGAAGUAAACUAAACAGGCCCCCACCAUUCAAGACUCACACUCUAGCAAGGUGCUGGUGACUUCGGUUCUGACCGACAGCCUGGAUGGACACCACACUUCCUCACGUGGAGCCUGUAUCAGUUGUGGCUCUCAGUCAGAGAUCUGGCCCCAGUGCCUCAUCACAUCCAACACAGAAGAGCUGCCUCUGUCUCAGUGAGGCCACCAUCUUAUCAGGAUUCACAUGUUAGGUGUCUUAGUCUAUUUUCUGUUGCUUGAAACUGGGUAAUUUAUAAAGAAAGGAAGUUUCCUUUUUUCUUUUUUUUUGAGAUGGAGUUUCACUUUGUUGCCUAGGCUGGAGUGCAGUGGCAUGAUCUCGACUCACUGCAACCUCCAUCUCCCGGGUUCAAGCGAUUCUUGUGCCUCACACUCCCAAAUAGCUGGGACUACAAGCAUGUGCCACCAUGCCCAGAUAAUUUUUGUAUUUUUAGUAGAGACGGGGUUUCACCAUGUUGGCCAGGCUAGUCUCCAACUCCUGACCUCAGGUGAUCCGCCCUCCUUCGCCUCCCAAAGUGCUGGGAUUAUAGGCAUGAGCCAGCAUGCCCGGCCACAAGGGAAAUUUAUUUCUUACAGUUAUGGAGGCUGGGAAGUCCAAGCUCAAGAGGGCCUUCUUGCUAGUGGGGACUCUCUGCAGAGUCCUGAGACUGUGCAGGGCAUCACAUGGAGAGGGGGCUGAGUGAGCUCACUUGCUAGCUCAGGUCUCUCUUCCUCUUAUAAAACCAUCAGUUCCACUUUCAUAACAACCCAUUAAUCCACUAAUCCAUGUAUGGACUAUACCUCUUAAAAGCCCCACCUCUCAAUAUUGCCACACUGGGGGCUAUAUUUCAACAUGAGUUUGGAGGAGAUAAACACUCAAACCAUAGCAUUUAGAGCUGCCUAAUCAGCACAUCCAUAAAUCUAUAGCCAUGAGUGUGAGUGGGAGAACCAGCAUGAACCUCAAUCAUAUUAAGGGCCAACAUGUUAAUAUUCACUCAACGGGAGAACCUGAGCAGUCCUAGCUGGAUGACCGCUGCCUGACCCAUCUGUGUAUGACACAGGCAACCACUGGGGAGACAGCAUCCUUUCCUAAAGGUGGAUCUUCAAGCUCACCCACCUAGAGGUUAAGCCAAUCAAAUAAUUAUCCAUGUACUUGGGGUAUAUAUUGGAUACUGAAUACUUUUCGCUGUGUUGAAUAAUUCUAUAAUAAAUAUACUAAUUUGAAAAGGAUC
rnacentral:lncRNA from 10 species